GCAGCAGUGGGGAAUAUUGGACAAUGGGCGAAAGCCUGAUCCAGCAAUGCCGCGUGAGUGAUGAAGGCCUUAGGGUUGUAAAGCUCUUUUACCCGGGAUGAUAAUGACAGUACCGGGAGAAUAAGCCCCGGCUAACUCCGUGCCAGCAGCCGCGGUAAUACGGAGGGGGCUAGCGUUGUUCGGAAUUACUGGGCGUAAAGCGCGCGUAGGCGGCUUUGUAAGUUAGAGGUGAAAGCCCGGAGCUCAACUCCGGAAUUGCCUUUAAGACUGCAUCGCUCGAAUCAUGGAGAGGUGAGUGGAAUUCCGAGUGUAGAGGUGAAAUUCGUAGAUAUUCGGAAGAACACCAGUGGCGAAGGCGACUCACUGGACAUGUAUUGACGCUGAGGUGCGAAAGCGUGGGGAGCAAACAGGAUUAGAUAC
rnacentral:rRNA from 1 species